rnacentral:lncRNA from 1 species
AGAAUUUGAGCCAUGUAUCAUUGGUGAUUAAUUUCUAAAUGCUCCUGAUCAAUGGAUCAUCACGAGGACGGUAAUCGAUCCGAUCAGUGCACAGAUCACUUUCCUUCUGGAUGGACGAGACUUGAGUCCACAGUGUGGGGACACUGAAGUGAUAGUGCAGGUGCUUGUUAGAGAAUAAGGGUACUGAGCGUGACCAAGACAAGAAGUCACUUGGAUGUCUAUCCACUCGUCAGUGACUU